AAAAAUGUUAUGAACAGGAGUAGUAGUAUAGUAAAUGUUUAAGAGAGCUGUUGUAUGGUGUAAAACAGUACAGUAAUAUACGAACUUGCCUGGGAGCUUAUCUAUGCAAAAAUAGAUACGGUUUUCACCGUUAAAGAAUUAAGUGGGAUAUUUAUAUCCAAUUAGAGUGGUACCGCGAAACAUAACCUUCGUCUCUUUU
rnacentral:ncRNA from 1 species